rnacentral:tRNA from 1 species
GGGGCUGUAGCUCAGUUGGUAGAGCACCUGCCUUGCAUGCAGGGGGUCCGGAGUUCGAUUCUCCGCUGCUCCACAA